CAGAAGCUGGCUUUUCAAGUUUUUCGACAAUCGCAAGAACAGAAGAGACAAGACAGGUUACUACGGUUAUUAUUCUGGAUCUCUCUUUGACUUUGAGACCUUGAGUUAACCAUUCCUGUAGAUUAUUGCUGACAUUUGAAGACAUUUUAUUCUUGAUGAGUUGAUCCAUGAAAAGGAAAGGUACAAUACCAUCUGGACUGAAUUGUAUCAGAAUUUUACAGACCUUACUGGCUUCUAAAUACCCUUCUUGCUUUACUGGAUUUUUGUCUAAAUAUUUUAUGAUCCAUGUCUGUCUGUUUUAUUUUGAGUAUGUUUUACAUAUAUCACUGUAUUAUAAUGGUUGAAAAGAAUCAUGUAAGUGACUUACCGAGGAUCACCUCUUUUAAUAUUGCUGAUGCAGCGUUUAACCAUGAGCUUAGUUUGAUUCUAUAGAUAAAAUUGGCCUCAGUGACGUGGAGGUUCGGGAUUAGGUAACAGAUUGAACAGUUAAUAGUGACAAGAUGUUUUGUAUAAGAAAAUGCACAGUGCAGCUGUAGCUCUGGAGAAAGGUCUACAGGCUUGUUCUGUUUGUUAUUGAAAAUUAAAAUAUCUUGUUUGCCUA
rnacentral:lncRNA from 1 species